AGAAAAAGACCCACCUCCUUUCCCUCCGUGUCCAUUUUCUCUUUCUCUGCAACCCUAGCUCUCUCUCUCUUUCUCAGAAAAGCUUAAAAAAGCUCUUUUGACCGUUUUGUCGUCAUCACAUCAGACGGUCCCCUGUACUUCUCCUCCAAUCAUAUUCUGAUUCUAUUAAUCACUUUCAGUCAUCAUCAUCGUCAAGUGACAGUAGUAUUUUCUGUAUUUUGACCACACUUAAUACUUUGUUUCACACACGAAUACAAAUUAAAACAACAACAGCAAAUUAACAAAACCGUGAAAACGAUGUCCGGUGGUUCCGAUGUGGCCGAUACCACUUCCCUAUCCUGCGCUCGCUGUGGCAAACCUGCUCGCCUUCAGUGUCCCAAAUGCGUGGAAUUAAAGCUCCCUCGCGAAGGUGCUGCUUUCUGCACUCAAGAUUGUUUCAAGGCUUCUUGGAGCUCUCAUAAAGCAGUGCAUUUGAAGGCAAAGCUGUCCUCACUUGGGACAGGUACUCCGCAUGAACAAAAUUCAGACUUACUUAAUGAAGAUUGGCUAUAUUGCUUGAAGAAAGGACAGGCUCGAACUCCAAAACUUCCCCAUUUUGAUUGGACAGGGGAAUUAAGGCCAUAUGCUAUAUCUAGAAGACGUGCUGUACCUGCUCAUAUUGAGCUUCCUGACUGGGCAGCUGAUGGUAUCCCAAAAACUGAGCCCAAUAGUGAUCUGCAGCAUGUUGUUGAGAUCAAAACACCGGAUCAAAUUGAGAGAAUGAGAGAGACUUGUCGAAUUGGAAGGGAAGUUUUGGACGCAGCUGCUCGUGUAAUACAGCCUGGUGUGACAACUGAUGAGAUUGACAGAGUGGUUCAUGAUGCAACUAUUGCGGCUGGUGCGUGCUUGCACUUUGCGCUUAGGCUCCAGGAGGCAUUUGUGCUUAAAUGCGGAGGAUAUCCUUCUCCUCUCAAUUAUCAUUUCUUCCCAAAGUCUUGCUGCACGUCAGUUAAUGAAGUAAUUUGCCAUGGAAUUCCAGAUGCAAGGAAAUUAGAGGAUGGUGAUAUUGUAAAUGUUGAUGUAACUGUGUACUAUAAAGGUGUCCAUGGUGAUCUCAAUGAAACGUAUUUUGUGGGUAAUGUUGAUGAAGAGUCUCGACGGCUGGUUCAAUGUACUUAUGAAAGCUUGGAGAAAGCAAUAGCUAUUGUGAAACCUGGGGUGCGAUUCCGUGAAAUUGGGGAAGUUAUUAAUCGUCAUACUACAAUGUCGGGGUUCUCAGUGGUAAAAUCAUAUUGCGGUCAUGGUAUUGGAGAGCUUUUUCAUUGUGCGCCAAAUAUUCCCCAUUAUGGAAGUAUCCUAAAUUAUUUUUUGCUGAAGGAAGAAAUAAAGCAGUUGGUGUAAUGAAGGCUGGGCAGACCUUUACAAUUGAACCAAUGAUCAAUGCUGGGGUUUGGCGUGAUCGGAUGUGGCCUGAUGGAUGGACUGCUGUCACUGCUGAUGGCAAACGCAGUGCUCAGUUUGAGCACACUCUUCUGGUGACACAGACUGGAGUUGAGGUUCUUACAGGGCGGCUGCCUUCCUCCCCAAAUGUGUUUCCUUGGCUAAAUGCGUAAUAAUUGGCAACUAUCAGCAAUUGUCUGUAUGGUGAACCUUCAUCCACCAAUAUCAUGCCAUCAGUGAACAUUCACUGAUUAUUGAUUGAUGGUUUUCUAGAUUCCUACCAUUUCCUUUUCUGUUGGAUGCGAAUGUGUUAUUGGAAGUGUGCUUUGGUGUUUCACACCUUUUAAACAAUCUUGUACUUUUUUUUUUUUUUUUUUUUUUUUUUUUGUUGAUAUUUUUUGUAGUUGCUAACUGGUGUUUGUCUUGGACCCCAGUAAGUUAUUCGAAUAAACAUUUUUAAUUUUUGGAUAAAUUGGGAAAAAAUUUGUUUAGAUUUUAUGUUA